AGAAUGGGUGCAGGGCUGUUUUGAAUAAUUGUUUCUGAACUGAUUUGGAAAUGUGCAGUUAUGGUUUUGGGAAACUGUGGACUAUCGAAAAUGGCUUGGUGGAAGAAGUUGAUGAAGAGUUUUGGUUCUGUUUGGAAUAUUUAGGGCGGCUUCGGAUGUGUUAUGGCGUGGACUGUUUAGUGUGUAUUUUUGUUUUGAUGUAGG